GUCGAGCGACUGAUUAGAAGCUUGCUUCUAUGACGUUAGCGGCGGACGGGUGAGUAACACGUGGGAAACCUGCCUGUAAGACUGGGAUAACUCCGGGAAACCGGAGCUAAUACCGGAUAACAUUUUCUCUUGCAUAAGAGAAAAUUGAAAGAUGGUUUCGGCUAUCACUUACAGAUGGGCCCGCGGUGCAUUAGCUAGUUGGUGAGGUAACGGCUCACCAAGGCAACGAUGCAUAGCCGACCUGAGAGGGUGAUCGGCCACACUGGGACUGAGACACGGCCCAGACUCCUACGGGAGGCAGCAGUAGGGAAUCUUCCGCAAUGGACGAAAGUCUGACGGAGCAACGCCGCGUGAGUGAUGAAGG
rnacentral:rRNA from 1 species